AAGUCGUAACAAGGUUUCCGUAGGUGAACCUGCGGAAGGAUCAUUAUUGAAUGAAACCUCUGGCUAGAUGCUGUUGUGCUGGCCCUUUGGUGGCAAUGUGCACACACCUCUGGUCAUUUGUUUCUUCUGUUCCACCUGUGCACUGCAUGUAGACACUCUGUGUCUAUGAUAUGUUACACACACACACAAUUGGUUGGCAUAUUACAAAAAAUAAAUAAAUACAACUUUCAACAAUGGAUCUCUUGGCUCUC
rnacentral:misc_RNA from 1 species